GCACUACCGAGGAGUCCCACAAUAAGACGAGACGGCCGUCCAGUGC
rfam:Schistosoma rodhaini strain Burundi genome assembly, scaffold: SROB_scaffold0002813